AGACGGUUCAGAAAGCAAAAUUGGCAGAUUUCCUUGCAACGCCCAUUUCCCCUCUGGUUUUUCUGCUGUUGAUUUCCGGUUAAGCUUGGUUUUGAAAUUGUUUACCAAUUUAAUUGGAACCCUAACUAUUCCCAGACUUAGUGAAUUUCAUCCAAUCCCAAUGGCUUUGUGAUAGCAAAUAGCCAUAACUGUCUUCUGAGCUGCUAAGUUUCUUCUUGUUUGAGUGAUGGACUCUCUGCUUGCCAACUAUGCUUCUUCAGAUGAUGAAGAGGAAAACCAUCAUCAAAGCUCUCCCCCUGCACCCAAGCCAGCGUUAUCUUCAUCUCUUCUCUCUUCCCUCCCACAGCCUAAAUCUUCCUCUCUCUUCUCUACUCUUCCCCAACCCAAACAGCAGUCCUUUACUCCCAUAAUUCAGCAUAAUAAUGGUAACAGUAAUAAAAAUAGCAUCAAGGAAGAUGAAGAUGCUCCAAAACCCUCUCCCAAACCCUCUUCUUCUCUUUUCUCUUCCCUCCCUAAACCUAAAACCCAAUCCCCACAAGAAGCCAUCUCAAAUCUCUCAACCUUAGGCCCCAAUCUCAAAAGGGUUGUGCAAUUCAAGCCCCCCAUUAACCCCAUUAAUCUAGAUUCCACUGAUUUUGAUGAUGAGGACGAAGGAGAAAAGGAGAAAAAACGGUGCAAGGAAUCUGAAACUUUGUCACAAUCUUUGUCUGUGAAGUCAUUCUUGUCCAGCAUCCCUGCCCCCAAGAAUUCCUCUACAUUAGGUGUUCUUCCAUCUGCAGCAGGGUCUGGAAGGAGAUCCAUCAUUGAAAAUAAAGUACCCACCUCAAGUUCAGCCAGCUUUGGGACAGAGAAUGAUCAAAUUGCUGAAAAUUAUGAGAGUUAUGGUGGUGUUUCUGGGAGCCAUGAAUUGGGUUCUGAUCAAAAUGGAGGGAAUUAUGCAAAUUAUGGGGGUUUUGCCAGUUAUGAAUCAGGAAUAAGUCAAGACAGCAGUCAAAAUAUUGUCACUGGACAUGAUGGCUCAGUGCAUGGGACUUACGAGAGUUAUGGAAGCUAUGGUAAUUAUGAUGAUUAUGAACAAUAUGGCAAUAAUUGGGGUGAUGGGACAGCAGCAGCAGCAGUGCCUGAGAGAACAGGGCCAAGUGAGAGCGCUUUGAGUGUGCCUGGGAAAAGAGGAAGGAAUGAUAUUCCAACUGAAAUUAUUGAGGUGAAGCAGGAUGAGCUGACUAAGAAUCGGCCUAGGGAGGACCAGGUCAAGUUAACUGGAAUUGCUUUUGGGCCAUCCUAUCAGCCUGCUUCUACAAAGGGAAAGCCUUCGAAACUUCAAAAGCGGAAGCAUCAGAUAGGUUCACUGUACUUUGAUAUGAAGCAGAAAGAGAUGGAAUUGUCAGAGCGGCGUGCCAAAGGUUUUCUUACCAAAGCUCAAACGCAAGCCAAGUAUGGAUGGUAAUGAUUUAUUUGAUUAUGAAACCUCAAAUUUAUAGCUGAUGAUCUGAAGAGGCCGCUCCUGUGUCAUAGACAUUUUCUCAUUCCAUCAGAAUCUCCUUUUGGCCAUAAGCCAGACCACCUUCAAUGUUAUAUUUUAUUUGGUUAAUUGUUUCCUAACAGAUUAUAGUUACGAUUUGUGUUAUCAUUUUGCAAUCUAAAGAUGGCAGAAUUACCUGUACUUCACCUGCUGGAGUUUAUGAAAAUGAUAUGGUGACUUCGUAAGUGUUGCAAUUUCACCCUAAUUGAACUUGUUGGAAAAGAAGGAUCCAAAAU
rnacentral:misc_RNA from 1 species